ACCUGGUUGGUUCAAUCAGUAGAGUAUGAAACUCUGGAUCUCAGGGUCAUGAGUUCAAGCCCCAUGUUGGGUA
rnacentral:tRNA from 1 species